rnacentral:sRNA from 1 species
GCUUGGCGUGGUGGUGCACACCUGUAAUCCCAGCAGUUUAGGAGGCUGAGACAAGAGUAUCACAAGUUCAAAGCCAGGCUCAGCAGUUUAGAGAGGCCCUAAGCAACUCAGUGAGACCCUGUCUCUA